GAUAAACGCUAGCGGUGUGCAUUAUGCAUGCAAGUCGAACGGUUUACCGCAAGGUAAACAGUGGCAAACGGCUGAGUAACACGUAAGCAACCUGUCUCAAAGUGGGGAAUAAUUCACCGAAAGGUGGACUAAUACCGCAUGUGGUGGCGGAAUCAGUUUUUCGUCACUAAAGCCUUCGGGCGCUUAGAGAGGGGCUUGCGUCCUAUCAGGUAGUUGGUGAGGUAACGGCCCACCAAGCCUUUGACGGGUAGCUGGUCUGAGAGGAUAUCCAGCCAGACGGGGACUGAGACACGGCCCCGACUCCUACGGGAGGCAG
rnacentral:rRNA from 1 species